rnacentral:lncRNA from 1 species
CGCGAUCUCGGCUCAGUGCAAUCUCCGCCUCCCGGGUUCAAGUGAUUCUCCUGCCUCAGCAUCCCAAGUAGCUGGGACUACAGGCACACACUACCAUGCCUGGCUAAUUUUUGUAUUCUUAGUAAAGAUGGGGUUUCACCAUGUUGGCCACUGGAAUUCUCUCUGCCCAGCUCUGAAGUGGGCAAGCUUAACCUCUAUAAACCUCAGUUUCCUUUUCUGCAAGUCCAGGGAAGACCUAGAUGGUCUUUUCCAGCUAUAAAAUUUCCAGUGUGAUCCAAAGUCACACUGAGGGUUCAGUGACAGAGCUGGGACUUGAGCCUAAGUUUCUGACUUUUAAAGCAAUCAGUCCUUACAGAACUACAGCAAACCACCUCUAAUGAAAAAGAAUUUGUGGUAUCAUUCUAACCUGGCUCCUGGAUGCUUUAAACCUGUGA